rnacentral:lncRNA from 1 species
GCAUGGUGUGAUUAACCUACUAACCAACCCAGGGCUCGGCCAGGACGCUGUGGCACGUGACGAGAUGCCUGGCCUUCUGUCAACCGACUAAUCCACUAACCUGGCCCGAGCAUGUCCUACUAACCCCGCAGCAGCCAAACCCUACUAACU